rnacentral:lncRNA from 1 species
AUGUAGCCACAAGCUCAGGAGCGCUGGCAGCCACCAGAGGUGGGAAGAGACAGGAAGGACACCCCCCCACCACCACCACCGCCCGGAGCCUUCAGAGGGAGCGCCACCCUGCCCACAUUAAGAUUUUGGACUUCUGGCCUCCAGACUAUGUGAGGAUAUAUUUCUGUUGUAGGCCGCCCAGUCCGUGGUGCUCCGUGACGGCAGCGCCAGCACCCCGGCAGACUAGCCUGGUGGGGACUCCAAUGCAGGGAGCUGUUUAGACAGCCUGGCUCAUCCCCAGACCCACUGUAAGGAGCCUGCAUUUUCACAGGAUCCCCCUGGGCUUCCCACUGAAGUUUGAGAAGAUGGCCCUGCAACCUGUUUUGAGCAAGUGACUUUUCAAAAACCAUUGAACGGACACAACUAGUAACCGGGAGACAACUUUAGAAAUCCUCUAGCUCAUUACCCGUCACACGGUCAACUCUCAAAUAAAGCUUAUUUAGUGAGUGAAUGCAUACACAGGCUUUCGUUCUUGCGGGGUAUCUUUAACUGAGAGACAUCAGACAUUUUUUAUUAGGAUCUGAGUGGCCACGGACCUUCUUAGAAGCUGGCCCUUCCACGUAACAGGUUCCCGGAUUGCUCCUGGGUCUAACUGGGGUAAUCUGCAGGAAACUGCACGUCAGGACAUACAAGUUUAUGCAAAGCAGUGGUGAGAACAGAUGCAUGGCCAGAGCACAAAUUUGUUAUGGUCUUUAACCGAAUAAAGAAUUAGAGUAUAAUGUGAUUGAGUUGCUUUUGAAUGGAUAAUGGACAGGGAAUAACUAAGGAAUAGCUCAAGUAUAUAUUGAUUAAAAUGUUUAAAAUCCAUCUGUCUCAUCAAAAUCUUUUUUUUUUUUUUUAAGGAGAAAGUUUGUUGUUAUGAAUGAAAUGGAGUAACAUCAGGAACAAAGGAAGAGCUAAUCAAGCAGCUCUCCAGAACAAGAGAUCCUCAUGAUGACUUGGGGCCCACCUGGGUCAUCUGCAGGAGGCCUCUGCCAUAUAAGGUGACAAUCAGAUUCUGGGCCUGGGACGUGGAGGUCAUUGGGGUCACUGUUCAGUUUCCCCCUCGUUCACCUCUCCCAUGCCUGUAUCUCACUCCACCCCCCUCAUCCUCUGAAUGCAGUUCAAGCCACCUGCUGCCAGAAGCCCCCCCGGAUCUCCAGGCUGCACACUGGACACGUCUCUUCCUGCUCAGGUCCGGGCUGCUGAGCCCCCCAUCCCACUCACAUGCACCUGCAGCCUCCACCCCAACCACUGAGUUCAGAGUGGUGACCCUGCAUCUCACGGUUGGAUAUCCCACAGCAGGAACAGAAUCACUGUUGGAUGACAACAUGUCAUCAGAUAAAGGCAAGUCCUGCUUCUCUGGUGGGGAGGAUACAUUUCAAAUCCAGUGUCUUAAGGAGCAGAGUAUUUGCAACUAGAACCCCCAGGGGCACUGGGACGGGGCUUCAGUCCCAGCAGAGUACAGGGGCAGCCCGGCCGCCAAUAGAAACAAUGUCAUUAAAAGACACGUUGCAGAUCCGUGGGCCUACGAGAGGUACAGUGGUUUAGAUUUAGAAUAAUGGUAGAGAAGAGUUGCUAACGUAUCUGCCAGCCGGUUGUGCAUGAAGAUUCUGGGGGCCCUUGCUUCCUGUUCAGAUCCAGGAACCAGCCCUCCGUGUUCCUUGUCGAAUGCACCGAUCCUGGGGAGUUUCAUGCCUCCGACAGCAAGAAAAAGGCAGUGACACUGUUCUCACCCACAAGGCCGUGGCUCCUCGGAGUCUGUCUGCACUGAGACCUUUCUCGUCUGCAGUCGCCCAAGACCGGUCCCAUGAGGACCCGUGAUGGUGCGUCACCCACCUGACUCCCCUCCCCAGUGGUCCUGGCUCCAGGACUCUCUCAGAGGUUGUCACUCUGCUCUGUGAAUGAUACUCAUGUGGACAUCUGCCAGAGGAGGCACAAAACGAUGAAUGACAGCUUGUUUUCUGCUCGUGUUGAUUUUGCCAUUCUGAACUUCACAACGCGGACAGAGAGCCAUCUCGUCUCUGUCGGUGUCUCCUGAAGGAUUUGGGCUCCAUCUCUUUCACCGCUGACCGCACCUCUGCCUCCCGCACACUGCCACCGACAGGGACGAUGGCCGAGGAGCCGUGGGUAGAACAAGAAGAGGGGUCCCUUUCACACAAGGAGGGGCUGUCCCUCGGCAGCAUGGUCUGCGACUCACCUGGAAGAGCACGGGUUCAGAGUAUUGAUCAGGGGCAUUGGAAGGACCAUGGGUGUGUGGGACAAUGAACCAUCUGGAAAGCCCUUGGAGGAGGUGGGGUGGCCCUGGGCAGGACCCUCUGACAGGUGAUGCUGUAGACCAGAGAUGGCACCAGUCGGAAUGUGCUCAGGCGAAAGCUAACGUGUGGUCCCCACACAGCUCAAGCCCAAGGGCUGGCAGUGGACCAUCAGUAACCUGGAGUCCUCCACUAGUUUAGUGUCCGACAUGAAUGGGAGUCACCCCAAAACCAACACAUCAGCCUGCAAGAGAAAUACUAAGCUGGCCAUGAAGCCCCAGAACGAUCCCAUAGACUCAGGCCUGGAACUCCUUGGGGCAGCUGGUCAACCCCACGUGCCAGCUAGAAGGUUGGAUAGCACCCAGAGGGGGUAAACAGAGGCCAGGCCCCACACAGGACGCUGUCCAGGACUGAGGUACCCCAGCCAGAUGCCAGGACGCUCCUCCACCCCUUCCCUGCUGGCGAGGUCAGUUCCAGCC